rnacentral:rRNA from 1 species
AUUGAACGCUGGCGGCAUGCCUUACACAUGCAAGUCGAACGGCAGCACGGGGGCAACCCUGGUGGCGAGUGGCGAACGGGUGAGUAAUACAUCGGAACGUGCCCAGUAGUGGGGGGAUAGCUCGGCGAAAGCCGGAUUAAUACCGCAUACGACCUACGGGUGAAAGCGGGGGAUCGCAAGACCUCGCGCUAUUGGAGCGGCCGAUGUCAGAUUAGGUUGUUGGUGGGGUAAAGGCCUACCAAGCCGACGAUCUGUAGCUGGUCUGAGAGGACGACCAGCCACACUGGGACUGGAGACACGGCCCAGACUCCUACGGGAGGCAGCAGUGGGGAAUUUUGGACAAUGGGCGCAAGCCUGAUCCAGCCAUGCCGCGUGCGGGAAGAAGGCCU